AUAAUUUCUGGCAGGGGUGAUUUUUUUGCCCACAAAGGUGAUUUCCCCUGGCCAAGUCUUAUCCAUUGCACUCCAGAUGGCUGACCUCUGUGAUUACCCCAAAUGUGGGAAACUCUACUGCAGAAUUUGUGGUAGCUGAAGCCUGAGUUCAUGCUUUCCAC